rnacentral:rRNA from 1 species
GUGCCAGCCGCCGCGGUACUACCGGCAGCUCAAGUGAUGGCCGAUCUUAUUGGGCCUAAAGCGUCCGUAGCUGGCCUCGCAAGUCCGUCGGGAAAUCCAGUAGCCCAACUACUGGGCGUCCGGCGGAGACUACAAGGCUUGGGACCGGAAGGCUCGAGGGGUACGUCCGGGGUAGGAGUGAAAUCCCGUAAUCCCGAACGGACCACCGAUGGCGAAAGCACCUCGAGAAAACGGAUCCGACAGUGAGGGACGAAAGCCAGGGUCUCCAACCGGAUUAGAAACCCCUGUAGUCC